GAACAUGCUUGGCCUUGUUUGAAGAACAAACAGCCUGUGUCUGUCAGUGGUGGACUGAAAAGACACUGCAAGCUCCUACCUGU